GUGCCAGCAGCCGCGGUAAUACGUAGGAUGCAAGCGUUAUCCGGAUUUAUUGGGCGUAAAGCGCGCGCAGGCGGCGCUCAGCAGUGGCGCGUGGAAUCUCCCGGCUCACCCGGGAGGGGUCGCGCCAGACGGGAGUGCUCGAGGCAGGCAGAGGAUCGCGGAACGGGCGGAGUAGGGGUGAAAUCCGUAGAGACCGUCCGGAACACCAGUGGCGUAGGCGGCGGUCUGGGCCUGUCCUGACGCUCAGGCGCGAAAGCGUGGGGAGCGAACGGAAUUAGAUACUCCGGUAGUCCACGCCCUAAACGAUGGCCACUCGGUGUCGGGGGUAUCGACCCCCCCGGCGCCCCAGCUAACGCGAUAAGUGGCCCGCCUGGGGACUACGGCCGCAAGGCUAAAACUCAAAGGAAUUGACGG
rnacentral:rRNA from 1 species